rnacentral:siRNA from 1 species
GAGUUCAAGAAAGAGUGUUUGA